rfam:Pongo abelii chromosome 19.
CACAAUGUUACACUGGAGAGCAGGAAGAGCUGUGUUGGGUAUAAGUAACAGACUUUUCUUUUUUUCUAUGUGGCUCUUUGCA